rnacentral:rRNA from 1 species
GGCUUAGAGUUUGAUCCUGGCUCAGAUUGAACGCUGGCGGCAUGCCUUACACAUGCAAGUCGAACGACGUCAGGGGGCAACUCCUGGCGAGUGGCGAACGGGUGAGUAAUGCAUCGGAACGUGUCCUCUUGUGGGGGAUAACUAGUCGAAAGAUUGGCUAAUACCGCAUGAGAUCGCGAGAUGAAAGCGGGGGCUCCGCAAGGACCUCGCGCGAGAGGAGCGGCCGAUGCCCGAUUAGCUAGUUGGUGAGGUAACGGCUCACCAAGGCGACGAUCGGUAGCUGGUCUGAGAGGACGACCAGCCACACUGGGACUGAGACACGGCCCAGACUCCUACGGGAGGCAGCAGUGGGGAAUUUUGGACAAUGGGCGCAAGCCUGAUCCAGCCAUGCCGCGUGUGUGAAGAAGGCCUUCGGGUUGUAAAGCACUUUCGGACGGAACGAAAUCGCGCGGAUGAAUAU